AUUGAACGCUGGCGGCAUGCUUUACACAUGCAAGUCGAACGGCAGCGCGGGCUUCGGCCUGGCGGCGAGUGGCGAACGGGUGAGUAAUGCAUCGGAACGUGCCCAGUAGUGGGGGAUAGCCCGGCGAAAGCCGGAUUAAUACCGCAUACGACCUGAGGGUGAAAGCGGGGGACCGAAAGGCCUCGCGCUAUUGGAGCGGCCGAUGUCGGAUUAGCUAGUUGGUGGGGUAAAGGCUUACCAAGGCGACGAUCCGUAGCUGGUCUGAGAGGACGACCAGCCACACUGGGACUGAGACACGGCCCAGACUCCUACGGGAGGCAGCAGUGGGGAAUUUUGGACAAUGGGGGCAACCCUGAUCCAGCCAUGCCGCGUGCGGGAAGAAGGCCUUCGGGUUGUAAACCGCUUUUGUUCGGGAAGAAAUCCUCUGGGCUAAUCCCCCGGGGGGAUGACGGUACCGGAAGAAUAAGCACGGGCUAACUACGUG
rnacentral:rRNA from 1 species